CCUACGGGAGGCAGCAGUAAGGAAUAUUGGUCAAUGGGCGCAAGCCUGAACCAGCCAUGCCGCGUGGAGGAUGAAGGCGUUUUCGUCGUAAACUUCUUUGGUCGGAGACGAAACCCCAGGAUGCGUCCUGGGCUGACGGUAUCCGAAGAACAAGCACCGGCUAACUCCGUGCCAGCAGCCGCGGUAAUACGGAGGGUGCAAGCGUUAUCCGGAUUUACUGGGUUUAAAGGGGGCGCAGGCGGUCGUAUAAGUCAGAGGUGAAAGCCCGGCGCUUAACGUCGGAAUUGCCUUUGAUACUGUACGACUUGAGUAUGAUAGAGGUAGGCGGAAUGCGUCAUGUAGCGGUGAAAUGCAUAGAGAUGACGUAGAACACCGAUUGCGAAGGCAGCUUACUAUAUCAGCACUGACGCUGAGGCCCGAAAGCGUGGGUAGCGAACAGGAUUAGAUACCCUGGUAGUCCCACGACCUAACCGACUGCUACUACGUUACUUUACGUCCGUUCCGGGUUCGGUAGUGACCGAACGGAAACCGGAACGUAAGUUAGUCCGACCGUCGGGAGGUACGCCGGCGACGGUAGAACGUACAANAGAAGUUAGUACGGCGUGAGACGUGCCGACGGACGACGACGAGGGAGGAGG
rnacentral:rRNA from 1 species